rnacentral:rRNA from 1 species
GAACAGUACUGACGCUGAGAUGCGAAAGCGUGGGAGCAAACAGGAUUAGAUACCCUGGUAGUCACGCUGUAAACGAUGUCGAUUUGGAGUUUGUUGCCUAGAGUGAUGGGCUCCGAAGCUAACGCGAUAAAUCGACCGCCUGGGGAGUGCGGCCGCAAGGUUAAAACUCAAAUGAAUUGACGGGGGCCCGCACAAGCGGUGGAGCAUGUGGUUUAAUUCGAUGCAACGCGAAGAACCUUACCUGGUCUUGACAUCCAUAGAAUUCUGCAGAGAUGUGGGAGUGCCUUCGGGAACUAUGAGACAGGUGCUGCAUGGCUGUCGUCAGCUCGUGUUGUGAAAUGUUGGGUUAAGUCCCGCAACGAGCGCAGCCCUUAUUCUUUGUUGCCAGCGAUUUGGUCGGGAACUCAAAGGAGACUGCCGUUGAUAAAGCGGAGGAAGGUGGGGACGACGUCAAGUCAUCAUGGCCCUUACGACCAGGGCUACACACGUGCUACAAUGGCGUAUACAAAGGGAAGCGAAGGUGCGAGCUGGAGCGGAUCUCAUAAAGUACGUCUAAGUUCGGAUUGGAGUCUGCAACUCGACUCCAUGAAGUCGGAAUCGCUAGUAAUCGUAGAUCAGAAUGCUACGGUGAAUACGUUCCCGGGCCUUGUACACACCGCCCGUCACACCAUGGGAGUGGGUUGCACCAGAAGUAGAUAGCUUAACCGCGAGGGGGGCGUUUACCACGGUGUGAUUCAUGACUGGGGUGAAGUCGUAACAAGGUAACCA